CGUCGGUAUCGGACGUAUCGGAGCGUAUCAGCGCGUUAUAUCCAUUAUUUUUACCAUUCUUACUGCUUUCAUACUAUAUUUUUACUACUCUCUUGUUAUAAUUAUUCUCGAAAAUCACUACGCCGAUGAGAUAAAACCAUUUUUCACAAGUUUUCUUCCGUCGUUUUCUAUAGAGUCUCGAACGUAUCCGUGUAAUGAUAUCUGACAAUGAGUAUUAUCUUUGCCUCAAGUGACAAAAUACGCGUCGGGAGUGCCGUAUGUUGCUCGAUGUUGCGCGAUAAUAAUUAAUCUGGUUUUCGCGAAUAAAUCACGAAAAAUCGUGUUCCUACUGAGAGGAGGAGCAGGCUCAGGAUGGGCAUCGGGCAUAAGCGGACCAACUUUAAGAUCAACUUUGCGGAACAACAAUUCCGCUGCUACGCAUCGUAUCGAUAAAUUUUGUGCGCGUAAUUAGUGCUACGAAAUAUAUUCGUUCCGUCGUAAUGUAACAAAAUGCAUGUCGGGAGUGCCGUUUAAAGUAAGUCGCGCGAUUUUUGUGUUCGGGUACGCGCGCGAGCAAGGCGUGCGCCGCGACGCGUGUGAGUGUGUGAGUGCCUCGAAGAAUUGCUGAGAGGAGGAGGUCUAGGAGAGGCGUCGGGCGACAGCAGAGCAACGAAACGGUUUGCUACCUCUGGGACACCUCUACAAAUAGCAGAGAUACUCAUCGACCGGUGAGUGACAAAUACCAAUGUUUUAUUUAUC